CCUACGGGCGGCAGCAGUGAGGAAUAUUGGUCAAUGGACGAGAGUCUGAACCAGCCAAGUAGCGUGAAGGAUGACUGCCCUAUGGGUUGUAAACUUCUUUUAUAUGGGAAUAAAACGUUCCACGUGUGGGAUUUUGUAUGUACCAUAUGAAUAAGGAUCGGCUAACUCCGUGCCAGCAGCCGCGGUAAUACGGAGGAUCCGAGCGUUAUCCGGAUUUAUUGGGUUUAAAGGGAGCGUAGGUGGAUUGUUAAGUCAGUUGUGAAAGUUUGCGGCUCAACCGUAAAAUUGCAGUUGAAACUGGCAGUCUUGAGUACAGUAGAGGUGGGCGGAAUUCGUGGUGUAGCGGUGAAAUGCUUAGAUAUCACGAAGAACUCCGAUUGCGAAGGCAGUUCACUGGACUGCAACUGACACUGAAGCUCGAAAGUGUGGGUAUCAAACAGGAUUAGAUACCCCUGUAGUC
rnacentral:rRNA from 1 species